UUCACACUAUGUCUCUUUUUAAACUUUGAAAAAUGCUAAACAUAAUAAUUUGAAAAAAGUCUACUAUCACACGAAUAUCGUCUCAUAAAAAUUUCUUAUUAGACAAGUAGGUCGACAGAGCGAGUCAGCCUGAGGGUUGCUUUGCGUACAUGCUUUCGACUCUUGGUUUGAAUGUGUUCCACUGUGUGCGAGGCUGGGGAGGUUAUGGUGUCCUGGAUCAUAGACGUUAUAAGAUAUGGACAGCCAACACGAGGCGCGCGCAGUGGGAAAGCGUUGACUCACAGCGUGACCGCGGGAUGGAAGAGAAGGUGGUGUACAGGCAAUAUCCGGUCGCUUUGUUUUGUAUCCGCGAGUACCUUUCAAUCCUUUGCUGUUGAAGAAGGCCUCUUAGUCUGUCUGGAGGUCUUGGAAGAGUCUUGUGGGACUUGAGGUCAGAUGACAACAUUUCAGACAAUGUAAAGGGAAUAUUCCCUAAUGUUGGUGGACCUGCACUACUUCAUGAUUUACAGUUUCUUAGCCUGUGUAUAGUGAAGAAGAGCAGGUUGAAAACUGCUACAAAAGAAAAAGUAUACAUGUAUUCAAAUUUUCACAAGGAAUUUUUAAUUGAUUGUAAAGAUUUUGAAAGGAAUAUCCCAUCUCUGCAUCAAUAUGGAUCUGCCUAAUGGUAUUUGAAAAGAUGGUAAAUGAAAACUACAACUUGGCUAAUAAUCAGUCUGUAACUGAUUUAAGCGAGGUGGCUGAUGAGGAAAUAGAGACUGUAUAGUAUAUUGGAGGCUAUGUGCUAUGUAAUGUUAAGAAAUGAGCAAUUAAAUUCUCAUAAUAAGAAAGAUGAUUUUUUUUCCAUGUUUAAAAGAACUCACACAUGAACCUAACACCAGAACAAGAUCUUCUGAGCCUGCUGUGAAAUCAAUGACACAUUCUGGAUAGAUGGGGAGUUACAGAAUUAAAACCCAUGUGAUUCAAAUUUUUCUGAAGUUCAAGUCUAUAUUUAGACAAUGCUUUGAUGGCCAGGUGGAUUUUUUUUCCUUUUCACCAGGCCUUUUCAUAUUGCCUACUUUGCUGUGAAAAGAAAAUGUCAUUAGCAAACAUAUUUAGUAAAAUGGAAAUUAAAAUAUCUUUACAAUCAAUUAAAUCCAUAAGAAUUUAAAUUGUCUUCACAAAAUGUAUACAUACUGAGUUCACAUAAUAUAUAUAUAUAAUUUAUGUCCUUGUAUUUUGAUUAAUUUUGUAUCAUCUCCUUUAUUUACAUUUGUGCAAAAUUAAUAUUGAUCAUGAUGUUAUAGUGUUAAAACAACCCUCCCAACUUCAGGUUGAUGCUAUUUUCUGCUUCAAGAGAGACAUUAUACUUAAUGUGUCAAUGUCAUGGUUAUAAAAGUGAAGCACAUUCAAAAGUUUAGGUUUAUGUAGAAAAUGAUUAUCAUCAUACAUGUAAUACAUUUGUAUAAAAGUUAAGUGGACUUUUUGGCAAGCCUAAAUAUCCGAAAAGAGUUGAAAUCUUAAACAUCAUAUAAGUAGAGGAGCUUUACUUAAUAUAUAUACAUGCGUAAUAAAAAUUGAUGUUAAAUAUUGAUUUCAUGGCUUUUAAUCACUUUGGCACUUACAUUCAUGCACACUCAAUUCAAUAAAGAUAACUGCCUCA